AACGAACGCUGGCGGCAGGCUUAACACAUGCAAGUCGAACGGUGUAGCAAUACACAGUGGCAGACGGGUGAGGAACACGUGGGAACAUCCCUUUCGGUUCGGAAUAACGUUGGGAAACUAACGCUAAUACCGGAUACGUCCUUCGGGAGAAAGAUUUAUUGCCGAGAGAUUGGCCCGCGUCUGAUUAGCUAGUUGGUGAGGUAACGGCUCACCAAGGCUACGAUCAGUAGCUGAUCUGAGAGGAUGAUCAGCCACAUUGGGACUGAGACACGGCCCAAACUCCUACGGGAGGCAGCAGUGGGGAAUAUUGGACAAUGGGCGCAAGCCUGAUCCAGCCAUGCCGCGUGAGUGAUGAAGGCCUUCGGGUUGUAAAGCUCUUUUAUCCGGGAGGAUAAUGACUGUACCGGAAGAAUAAGCCCCGGCAAACUUCGUGCCAGCCGCCGCCGUAAUAC
rnacentral:rRNA from 1 species